GACCUGCGAGGCCCACGGUAUGGGCUGG
rnacentral:sRNA from 1 species